rnacentral:tRNA from 1 species
GGAAGGGUGACCGAGUGGUUUAAGGUACCGGUCUUGAAAACCGGCGAACGCAAGUUCCGUGGGUUCGAAUCCCACCCCUUCCGCCA